CCUACGGGAGGCAGCAGUGGGGAAUCUUGCACAAUGGAGGAAACUCUGAUGCAGCGAUGCCGCGUGAGUGAAGAAGGCCUUUGGGUUGUAAAGCUCUUUUGUAGGGGAAGAUAAUGACUGUACCCUAAGAAUAAGGUCCGGCUAACUUCGUGCCAGCAGCCGCGGUAAUACGAAGGGACCUAGCGUAGUUCGGAAUUACUGGGCGUAAAGCGCGCGUAGGCCGUUGAGUUAGUUAAUUGUGAAAUCCCAAAGCUUAACUUUGGAACUGCAAUUAAAACUGCUCGACUAGAGUUUGAUAGAGGAAAGCGGAAUACAUAGUGUAGAGGUGAAAUUCGUAGAUAUUAUGUAGAACACCAGUUGCGAAGGCGGCUUUCUGGAUCAACACUGACGCUGAGGCGCGAAAGUAUGGGUAGCAAAGAGGAUUAGAUACCCUCGUAGUCCAUACCAUAAACGAUGAUUGCUAGAUGUUGGAAAUUUAUUUUCAGUAUCGCAGCUAACGCAUUAAGCAAUCCGCCUGGGGAGUACGACCGCAAGGUUAAAACUCAAAGAUAUAGCGNGNGAGAGCGACGACGACGACGACGAGGAGAG
rnacentral:rRNA from 1 species